GGGGUUUGACAUGCAGGUGGUACUGAUCUGAAAGGGGAGGGACCCUUAUCUUUGAUGGGGGAGCCUGCAC
rnacentral:rRNA from 1 species